rnacentral:rRNA from 1 species
UACAUAGGGGGCAAGCGUUAUCCGGAUUUACUGGGUGUAAAGGGUGCGUAGGCGGUUAGAUAAGUCAGGUGUGAAAACCCGGGGCUCAACCUCGGGAAUGCAUUUGAAACUGUUUGACUAGAGUAUGGGAGAGGUAAGUGGAAUUCCUAGUGUAGCGGUAAAAUGCGUAGAUAUUAGGAAGAACACCAGUGGCGAAGGCGACUUACUGGACCAAAACUGACGCUGAGGCACGAAAGCGUGGGGAGCAAACAGG